GUGCCAGCCGCCGCGGUAAUACGGGGGGGGCAAGCGUUGUUCGGAAUUACUGGGCGUAAAGGGCUCGUAGGUGGCCCCAUAAGUCAGACGUGAAAUCCCUCGGCUCAACCGAGGAACUGCGUCUGAGACUGCGGGGCUUGAAUCCGGGAGAGGGAUGCGGAAUUCCAGGUGUAGCGGUGAAAUGCGUAGAUAUCUGGAGGAACACCGGUGGCGAAGGCGGCAUCCUGGACCGGUAUUGACACUGAGGAGCGAAAGCCAGGGGAGCAAACGGGAUUAGAAACCCUCGUAGUCC
rnacentral:rRNA from 1 species